rnacentral:rRNA from 1 species
UACGGGGGGGGCAAGCGUUGUUCGGAAUUACUGGGCGUAAAGGGCUCGUAGGCGGCCAACUAAGUCGGACGUGAAAUCCCUCGGCUUAACCGGGGAACUGCGUCCGAUACUGGAUGGCUUGAGUUUGGGAGAGGGAUGCGGAAUUCCAGGUGUAGCGGUGAAAUUCGUAGAUAUCGAGAGGAACACCGGUGGCGAAGGCGGCCUUCUGGACAGUGACUGACGCUGAGACGCGAAAGCGUGGGGAGCAAACAGG